rnacentral:rRNA from 1 species
ACGCUCGACACCUACGGGAGCCAGCAGUGGGGAAUAUUGCACAAUGGGGGAAACCCUGAUGCAGCGACGCCGCGUGGAGGAAGAAGGUCUUCGGAUUGUAAACUCCUGUUGUUGGGGAAAAAGAGGAUGGUACCCAACAAGGAAGUGACGGCUAACUACGUGCCAGCAGCCGACGGUAAUCUGAGGCGGGCUGGCAAGGC